rnacentral:lncRNA from 1 species
CUAACUCAUUAGUUAUAUGCUUGCAAGGCUUAAGUGAUGAGUAUUACCGAGAGGGCCCAGAGAUACCUCUUCGACAAUCGGAGUGACAAAUCCUAAUCUUGAAUUAUGCCAACUCAACAUGAACCUUCGGAAACACCUGUAGAGCACCUUUAUAAUCACCCAGUUACGUUGUGACGUUUGGUAGCACACAAAGUGUUCUUCCGGUACACGGGAGUUGCACAAUCUCAUAGUUGCAGGAACUUUGUAUAAGUCAUGAAGAAAGCAAUAGCAGUAUAGUAAACGAUCAAGUGCUAGGCUAACAAAAUGGGUCAUGUCAAUCACAUCAUUCUUCUAAUGAUGUGAUCCCACUAAUCAAAUGAAAACACAUGUCUAUGGUCAGGAAACAUGACCAUCUUUGAUUAAUGAGCUAGUCAAGUAGAGGCAUACUAGUGACUAUAUGUUUGUCUAUGUAUUCACACAUGUAUCAUGUUUCCGGUUAAUACAAUUCUAGCAUGAAUAAUAAACAUUUAUCAUGAUAUGAGGAAAUAAAUAAUAACUUUAUUAUUGCCUCUAGGGCAUAUUUCCUUCAGUCUCCCACUUGCACUAGAGUCAAUAAUCUAGAUUACAUAGUAAUGAUUCUAACACCCAUGGAGUCUUGGUGCUGAUCAUGUUUUGCUCGUGAGAGAGGCUUAGUCAACGGGUCUGCAACAUUCAGAUCCGUAUGUAUCUUGCAAAUCUCUAUGUCUCCCACUUGGACUUGGUCCCGAAUGGAAUUGAAGCGUCUCUUGAUGUGCUUGGUCCUCUUGUGAAAUCUGGAUUCCUUUGCCAAGGCAAUUGCACCAGUAUUGUCACAGAAGAUCUUCAUUGGUCCCGAUGCACUAGGUAUGACACCUAGAUCGGAAAUGAACUCCUUCAUCCAGACUCCUUCAUUUGCUGCUUCAGAAGCAGCUAUGUACUCCGCUUCACAUGUAGAUCCCGCCACGACGCUUUGUUUUAGAACUGCACCAACUUACAGCUCCACCGUUUAAUAAAAAUACGUAUCCGGUUUGCGAUUUAGAAUCGUCCGGAUCAGUGUCAAAGCUUGCAUCGACGUAACCAUUUACGACUAGCUCUUUGUCACCUCCAUAUACGAGAAACAUAUCCUUAGUCCUUUUCAGGUAUUUCAGGAUGUUCUUGACCGCUGUCCAGUGAUCCACUCUUGGAUUACUUUGGUACCUUCCUGCUAAGCUUAUUGCUAAGCAUACGUCAGGUCUGGUACACAGCAUUGCAUACAUGAUAGAGCCUAUGGCUGAAGCAUAGGGAAUAUUUUUCAUUUUCUCUCUAUCUUCUGCAGUGGUCGGGCAUUGAGUUCGACUCAAUUUCACACCUUGUAGCACAGGCAAGAAUCCUUUCUUUGCCUGAUCCAUAUUGAACUUUUUAAAUAUUUUGUCAAGGUAUGUGCUUUGUGAAAGUCCUAUUAAGCAUCUUGAUCUAUCUCUAUAGAUCUUGAUGCCUAAUAUGUAAGCAGCUUCUCCGAGGUCUUUCAUCGAAAAACUUUUAUUCAAGUAUCCCUUUAUGCUAUCCAGAAAUUCUAUAUCAUUUCCAAUUAAUAAUAUGUCAUCAACAUAUAAAACUAGAAAUGCUACAGAGCUCCCACUCACUUUCUUGUAAAUACAGGCUUCUCCAAAAGUCUGUAUAAAACCAUAUGCUUUGAUCACACUAACAAAACGUUUAUUCCAACUCCGAGAUGCUUGCACCAGUCCAUAAAUGGAACGUUGGAGCUUGCACAUUUUGUCAGCACCUUUUGGAUCAACAAAACCUUCCGGCUGCAUCAUAUACAACUCUUCUUCUAGAAAUCCAUUCAAGAAUGCAGUCUUGACAUCCAUUUGCCAAAUUUCAUAAUCAUGAAAUGCAGCAAUAGCCAACAUGAUUCGGACAGACUUAAGCAUCGCUACGGGUGAGAAAGUCUCAUCGUAGUCAACCCCUUGAACUUGUCGAAAACCUUUCACAACAAGUUGAGCUUUAUAGACGGUUACAUUACCAUCAGCGUCAGUCUUCUUCUUAAAGUUCCAUUUAUUCUCAAUGGCUUGCCGAUCAUCGGGCAAGUCAACCAAAGUCCAUACUUUGUUUUCAUACAUGGAUCCUAUCUUAGAUUUCAUGGCCUCCAGCCAUUUUGCGGAAUCUGGGCUCAUCAUCGCUUCCUCAUAGUUCGUAGGUUCAUCAUGGUCAAGUAACAUGACUUCCAGAACAGGAUUACCGUACCACUCUGGUGCGGAUCUUACUCUGGUAGACCUAAGAGGUUCAGCAGAAACUUGAUCUGAAGUUUCAUGAUCAAUAUCAUUAGCUUCCUCACUAGUUGGUGUAGUUGUCACGGGAACCGGUUCUCGUGAUGAACUACCUUCCAACAAGGGAGUAGAUACAGUUAUCUCAUCAAGUUCUACUUUCCUCCCACUCACUUCUUUCGAGAGAAAUUCUUUCUCUAGAAAGGAUCCAUUCUUAGCAACAAAUGUUUUGCCUUCGGAUCUGUGAUAGAAGGUGUACCCAACAGUUUCCUUUGGGUAUCCUAUGAAGACACAUUUCUCCGAUUUAGGUUCGAGCUUAUCUGGUUGAAGUUUCUUCACAUAAGCAUCGCAGCCCCAAACUUUAAGAAACGACAACUUUGGUUUCUUGCCAAACCAUAGUUCAUAAAGCGUCGUCUCAACGGAUUUUGACGGUGCCCUAUUUAACGUGAAUGCAGCCGUCUCUAAAGCAUAACCCCAAAACGAUAGCGGUAAAUCGGUAAGAGACAUCAUAGAUCGCACCAUAUCAAGUAAAGUACGAUUACGACGUUCGGACACACCAUUUUGUUGUGGUGUUCCAGGUGGCGUGAGUUGCGAAACUAUUCCGCAUUGUUUCAAAUGUAAACCAAACUCGUAACUCAAAUAUUCUCCUCCACGAUCAGAUCGUAGAAAUUUUAUUUUCUUGUUACGAUGAUUUUCUACUUCACUCUGAAAUUCUUUGAACUUUUCAAAUGUUUCAGACUUGUGCUUCAUUAAGUAGAUAUACCCAUAUCUGCUCAAAUCAUCUGUGAAGGUGAGAAAAUAACGAUAUCCGCCACGAGCCUCAACAUUCAUCGGGCCACAUACAUCUGUAUGUAUGAUUUCCAACAAAUCUGUUGCUCUCUCCAUAGUACCGGAGAACGGCGUUUUAGUCAUCUUGCCCAUGAGGCACGGUUCGCAAGUACCAAGUGAUUCAUAAUCAAGUGAUUCCAGAAGUCCAUCAGUAUGGAGUUUCUUCAUGCGUUUUACACCGAUAUGACCUAAACGGCAGUGCCACAAAUAAGUUGCACUAUCAUUAUCAACUCUGCAUCUUUUGGCUUCAACAUUAUGAAUAUGUGUAUCACUACUAUCGAGAUUCAAUAAAAACAGACCACUCUUCAAGGGUGCAUGACCAUAAAAGAUAUUACUCAUAUAAAUAGAACAACCAUUAUUCUCUGAUUUAAAUGAAUAACUGUCUCGCAUCAAACAAGAUCCAGAUAUAAUGUUCAUGCUCAACGCAGGCACCAAAUAACAAUUAUUUAGGUCUAAAACUAAUCCCGAUGGUAGAUGUAGAGGUAGCGUGCCGACGGCGAUCACAUCGACUUUGGAACCGUUUCCCACACACAUCGUCACCUCGUCCUUGGCCAGUGCUCGCUUAUUCCGUAAUCCCUGUUUCGAGUUGCAAAUAUUAGCAACAGAACCAGUAUCAAAUACCCAGGUGCUACUACGAGCUCUAGUUAGGUACACAUCAAUAACAUGGAUAUCACAUAUACCUUUGUUCACUUUGCCAUCCUUCUUAUCCGCCAAAUACUUGGGGCAGUUCCGCUUCCAGUGACCAGUCUGCUUGCAGUAGAAGCACUCAGUUUCAGGCUUAGGUCCAGACUUGGGUUUCUUCUCUUGAGAAGAAACUUGCUUGCCGUUCUUUUUGAAGUUUCCCUUCUUCUUCCCUUUGCCCUUCUUCUUGAAACUAGUGGUCUUGUUGACCAUCAACACUUGAUGCUCCUUCUUGAUUUCUACCUCCGCGGCUUUCAGCAUCGCGAAGAGCUCGGGAAUAGUCUUGUUCAUCCCUUGCAUAUUAUAGUUCAUCACAAAACUCUUGUAGCUUGGUGGCAGUGAUUGGAGAAUUCUGUCAAUGACGCUAUCAUUCGGAAGAUUAACUCCCAGUUGAAUCAAGUGAUUAUUAUACCCAGACAUUUUGAGUAUAUGCUCACUGACAUAACUGUUCUCCUCCAUCUUGCAGCUGUAGAACUUAUUGGAGACUUCAUAUCUCUCAAUCCGGGCAUUUGCUUGAAAUAUUAACUUCAACUCCUGGAACAUCUCAUAUGCUCCAUGACGUUCAAAACGUCGUUGAAGACCCGGUUCUAAGCCGUAAAGCAUGUCACACUGAACUAUAGAGUAGUCAUCAGCUUUGCUCUGCCAGACGUUCUUAACGUCGUCAGUUGCAUCAGCAGCAGGCCUGGCACCCAGCGGUGCUUCCAGGACGUAACUCUUCUGUGCAGCAAUGAGGAUAAUCCUCAGGUUACGGACCCAGUCCGUGUAAUUGCUACCAUCAUCUUUCAACUUUGCUUUCUCAAGGAACGCAUUAAAAUUCAACGGAACAACAGCACGAGCCAUCUAUCUACAAACAAACAUAGACAAGCAAAAUACUAUCAGUUAAUCAUAUUACUAAAGAACUCCCACUUAGACAUCUAAGUGAUCACGUGAUCCAAAUCAACUAAACCAUAACCGAUCAUCACGUGAGAUGGAGUAGUUUUCAAUGGUGAACAUCAUCAUGUUGAUCAUAUCUACUAUAUGAUUCACGCUCGACCUUUCGGUCUCCGUGUUCCGAGGCCAUAUAUGUAUAUGCUAGGCUCGUCAAGUUUAACCUGAGUAUUCUGCGUGUGCAAAACUGGCUUGCACCCGUUGUAGAUGGACGUAGAGCUUAUCACACCCGAUCAUCACGUGGUGUCUCGGCACGACGAACUUUGGCAACGGUGCAUACUCAGGGAGAACACUACUUGAUAAUUUUAGUGAGAGAUCAUCUUAAAAUGCUACCGUCAAUCAAAGCAAGAUAAGAUGCAUAAAGGAUAAACAUCACAUGCAAUCAAUAUAAGUGAUAUGAUAUGGCCAUCAUCUUGUGCUUGUGAUCUCCAUCUCCGAAGCACCGUUGUGAUCACCAUCGUCACCGGCGCGACACCUUGAUCUCCAUCGUAGCAUCGUUGUCGUUUACGCCAUCUAUUGCUUCUACGACUAUCGCUACCGCUUAGUGAUAAUGUAAAGCAAUUACAGGGCGUUUGCAUUUCAUACAAUAAAGCGACAACCAUAUGGCUCCUGCCAGUUGCCGAUAACUUCGGUUACAAAACAUGAUCAUCUCAUACAAUAAAAUAUAGCAUCACGUCUUGACCAUAUCACAUCACAACAUGCCCUGCAAAAACAAGUUAGACGUCCUCUACUUUGUUGUUACAAAUUUUACGUGGCUGCUACGGGCUUAAGCAAGAACCAAUUUCACCUACGCAUCAAAACCACAACGAUAGUUUGUCAAGUUGAUGCUGUUUUAACCUUCGCAAGGACCGGGCGUAGCCACACUCGGUUCAACUAAAGUUGGAGAAACAGACACCCGCUAGUCACCUGUGUGCAAAGCACGGCGGUAAAACCAGUCUCGCGUAAACGUACGCGUAAUGUCGAUCCGGGCCGCUUCAUCCAACAAUACCGCUGAACCAAAGUAUGACAUGCUGGUAAGCAGUAUGACUUAUAUCGCCCACAACUCACAUGUGUUCUACUCGUGCAAAUAACAUCAAACCAUAAAAACCUAGGCUCGGAUGCCACUGUUGGGGAACGUAGUAAUUUCAAAAAAAUUCCUACGCACACGCAAGAUCAUGGUGAUGAUAUAGCAACGAGGGGAGAGUGUUGCCUAUGUACCCUCGUAGACCGAAGCGGAAGCGUUGACGCAACGUAGAGGAAGUAGUCGUACGUCCUCCCGGCCGACCGAUCCAAGCACCAUUACUCCGGCACCUCCGAGUUCUUGACACACAUACAGCUCGAUGACGCACCCUCGAUCUCCAAUCCAGUAGAGGUUCCAAGGGGGAGUUUCGUCAGCACGACGGCGUGGUGACGAUCUUGAUGUUCUCCUGUCGCAGGGCUUCGCCUAAGCACCGCUACAAUAUGAUCGAGGUGUAAUAUCGUGGAGGGGGGCACCGCACACGGCUAAGGAACGAUCAAUGAUCAACUUGUGUGUUCUAGGGUGCCCCCCUACCCCCGUAUAUAAAGGAGGGAGGGAGGAGGUGGCCGGCCCAAGGGGGGGCGCGCCAUAGGGAGGGGGAAACCUACUCCAAGUAGGUUUCCCCCCUUUUUCCUAAUCUUAUUUGGAGGGGGAAGGAAGGAGUACUAGUAUUAGGAAGUAGUACUAGUAGUAGAAAUAGGAAGAGGGGGAAGGAGAAAGGAAAGGGGGGCCGGCCCCCCUCCCCAAUUCGGAUUGGGCUUGGGGGGGGGGGCGCCCCCCUCCCUUGCUCCUUCUUCCUUCCUCCUACAUGGGCCCAAUAAGGCCCAUAUACCUCCCGGGGGGUUCCGGUAACCUCCCGGAGCUCCAAACUUCUCCGGAACCUUUCCGGUGUCCAAAUAUAUCCGUCCAAUAUAUCAAUCUUUAUGUCUCGACCAUUUUGAGACUCCUCGUCAUGUCCGUGAUCAUAUCCGGGACUCCGAACAAACUUCGGUACAUCAAAAUACAUAAACUCAUAAUAUAAUUGUCAUCGAAACAUUAAGCGUGCGGACCCUACGGUUCGAGAACAAUGUAGACAUGACCGAGACACGUCUCUGGUCAAUAACCAAUAGCGGGACCUGGAUGCCCAUAUUUGUUCCUACAUAUUCUACGAAGAUCUUUAUCGGUCAAACCGCAUAACAACAUACUUUGUUCCCUUUGUCAUCGGUAUGUUUACUUGCCCGAGAUUUGAUCGUCGGUAUCCAAUACCUAGUUCAAUCUCGUUAUUGGCAAGUCUCUUUACUCAUUCUGUAAUACGUCAUCUCAUGACUAACUCAUUAGUUAUAUGCUUGCAAGGCUUAAGUGAUGAGUAUUACCGAGAGGGCCCAGAGAUACCUCUCCGACAAUCGGAGUGACAAAUCCUAAUCUCGAAUUAUGCCAACUCAACAUGAACCUUCGGAAACACCUGUAGAGCACCUUUAUAAUCACCCAGUUACGUUGUGACGUUUGGUAGCACACAAAGUGUUCUUCCGGUACACGGGAGUUGCACAAUCUCAUAGUUGCAGGAACUUUGUAUAAGUCAUGAAGAAAGCAAUAGCAGUAUACUAAACGAUCAAGUGCUAGGCUAACAAAAUGGGUCAUGUCAAUCACAUCAUUCUUCUAAUGAUGUGAUCCCACUAAUCAAAUGACAACACAUGUCUAUGGUCAGGAAACAUGACCAUCUUUGAUUAAUGAGCUAGUCAAGUAGAGGCAUACUAGUGACUAUAUGUUUGUCUAUGUAUUCACACAUGUAUCAUGUUUCCGGUUAAUACAAUUCUAGCAUGAAUAAUAAACAUUUAUCAUGAUAUGAGGAAAUAAAUAAUAACUUUAUUAUUGCCU